UACCAGCACCCCGAGUGGUCGGGACGAUUAUUGGGCCUAAAGCAUCCGUAGCCGGUUCUGCAAGUCCUCCGUUAAAUCCAGCUGCUCAACAGAUGGGCCGCGGAGGAUACUACAGAGCUAGGAGGCAGGAGAGGCAAGCGGUACUCAGUGGGUAGGGGUAAAAUCCGUUGAUCCAUUGAAGACCACCAGUGGCGAAGGCGGCUUGCCAGAACGCGCUCGACGGUGAGGGAUGAAAGCUGGGGGAGCAAACAGG
rnacentral:rRNA from 1 species